GAUGAACGCUGGCGGCGUGCCUAAUACAUGCAAGUCGAGCGAACAGACGAGGAGCUUGCUCCUCUGACGUUAGCGGCGGACGGGUGAGUAACACGUGGAUAACCUACCUAUAAGACUGGGAUAACUUCGGGAAACCGGAGCUAAUACCGGAUAAUAUAUUGAACCGCAUGGUUCAAUAGUGAAAGACGGUUUUGCUUUCACUUAUAGAUGGAUCCGCGCCGCAUUAGCUAGUUGGUAAGGUAACGGCUUACCAAGGCAACGAUGCGUAGCCGACCUGAGAGGGUGAUCGGCCACACUGGAACUGAGACACGGUCCAGACUCCUACGGGAGGCAGCAGUAGGGAAUCUUCCGGAAUGGGCGAAAGCCUGACGGAGCAACGCCGCGUGAGUGAUGACGGUCUUCGGAUCGUAAGACUCUGUUAUUAGGGAAGAACAAAUGUGUAAGUACCUAUGCACGUCUUGACGGUACCUAAUCAGAAAGCCACGGCUAACUACGUG
rnacentral:rRNA from 1 species